rnacentral:lncRNA from 1 species
UUCUUUGGGGACUAAUGCUGGGCUUAGCAAGAGGCCUUCACACUUGAGAAUGAUGUAAGCAUUCCAGGUGGGAAGCGGCAUCUCCAAUCAGAGGCUACUACAUUGGUUUUAACUCGGCCAAACACUCCACACCAGUUCUGACAUACUACUGAGAAGGUUCCUCUCCAACUAUGGGAAGGUAUCCAGUAUUGCGACUUUGAAGUAUGUCUGCACUUCUAAAAUAUACUCAAAAAACAAAUCUAUUUCAGUGGAAAAUGUACUAUUUUUAAAGCACACCUGACUUGUCAUGCAAAUUACCUCAUUUUUGCUAUUCUCCAAACAAGUCAAACACAUUUGACCGCCUCCUGUAUGCAAACCUCUGGUUCCCCAAGGUAAGUACUUCUGUGUUUCCUUCACGCAAUAUAAACCUAACAUAAAGCAUGAUGCUUCAACGUGUUACUAUAUAGGAAAAGGAUAGGUAUAGUAGGUACAAUGUAAAGAUUUUAUAAUUGUUAAUAUCAGAUAAUGUUAAAAGUACACUUGAAAGCAUCUAAGAUACAUAAGAAAACCUAAAAGUAUAUCAAACCAAGGCUUAAGUUUUGCUUAAAUAACUAUUUAAUGAAAACAAAAGACCUUACUUUUACAUCCAAUGUGUGUUGA